AAUUUUCAAGUUUUUUGGAUUAAAGCAUCACUAAUUUUUAAGUUUCAAAUGGACUUUGUCCAAAAAAUGAUCUCUCGAUCAUUUCUCAAAGCCGAAGUCAAGGGAACGACUUCUUCUUGCCUUACUAUCCACAAGAAGUGGAUGGGGCUGCUCCACCCUUAAUCAGAGGUCGAGAGUUUGACCCUGGGUAUGAAGAAAUUUUGUUGGGAGCGCUGUCACCUUAAUGGGCCCUGCAACGCACAAUCCGAAUUAAUCGGGGUUCCAAUGCGAGCACCAAACACCGAAUGGGAAAUAAAAAAAAACCCACAAACAAAUAAAGAUAGCCGAUAGGAAAAAGACUAAAAAGAGUACCGGAUUUGCUUAUAUAUUCCACACCGGCAGAAAUAUUGGACAAUACUUACUAUAUAAUCUCGACGUGUCGUAAGUUGUAUGGGACUAAGAGUUGAUGGGACUUUCAUAGACGCAGCCUCGAUCGUCAACGGUGCUUUGGGCUUAAAGCAAGUACAAGUCCGCCUGUGUUUGAGGGAUUGAGUAAGGCGUCAUUUCAAGGAAUGAGAGCGCUCCUUCCUGCCAGUCAAAAUGGAUGGACGACGUUUUCGGGACGACUUGUCCAAAGUAAUCGUUUGGUAAAAUGGUUAGUCGUUGGUGGAACCAUCAUCUUUUUUAGAUAACGAGAAAUCGGUAGUGAGCCAGCACCCAUAUUCCAUAUAAAAACGAGGCUAAAUUCUAUAUGUGUAACCAUCUCUUUAAAUACUUAUUCGAUAUAUCUCCUUUUCGAUCCAUAAGUUUCUUUUAACAUAUGUAUUUCUUCUCAUCACAUAUUUGAAUUAUUUCAAUUUCACUUUCCUCAUCUUAACGAUCA